GACGAACGCUGGCGGCGUGCUUAACACAUGCAAGUCGAACGGAAAGGCCCUGCUUUUGUGGGUGCUCGAUGUGCCGACGGGGGGUGAAUAACGGGGUAAUCUGCCCCUUUGUUUGGGGUGACUUCAAGAAACUGGGGUUGAUAACCGCUCAGAACUCCUGCUGCCAGGUGGGGGUUGGGAAAGUUCGGCGGUUGGGGUUGGACCCGCGGGUUUUCAGCUUGUUGGGGGGGUAGGUGAUUACACAGGCCUUGUCGGGGAGCCGGCCUGGGAGGGUGACCGGGCACAUUGGGACUGAGAUACGGCCCAGACUGCUACGGGAGGCAGCAGUGGGGAAUAUUGCACAAUGGGCGGAAGCCUGAUGCAGCAACGCCGCGUGCGGGAUGACGGCCUUCGGGUUGUAAACCGCUUUCGCCUGUGACGAAGCGUGAGUGACGGUAAUGGGUAAAGAAGCACCGGCUAACUACGUG
rnacentral:rRNA from 1 species